rnacentral:rRNA from 1 species
GGUUGCGAUCAUACCAGCAGUAAUGCACCGGAUCCCAUCAGAACUCCGCAAUUAAGCGUGCUUGGGCGAGAGUAGUACUAGGAUGGGUGACCCCUUGGGAAGUCCUCGUGUUGCAACCC